rnacentral:rRNA from 1 species
UACGGAGGGUGCAAGCGUUGCUCGGAAUUAUUGGGCGUAAAGGGCAGGUAGGUGGUCUCAUUUGUCUAGGGUGAAAUCCUUGGGCUUAACCUGAGAAGGGCCUUAGAAACGGUGAGACUAGAGUUCUGGAGAGGGUCGUGGAAUUCCCGGUGUAGCGGUGAAAUGCGUAGAGAUUAGGAAGAACACCAGUGGCGAAGGCGGCUCACUGGCCCGAUACUGACGCUGAGACGCGAAAGCGUGGGGAGCAAACAGG